GUGAGUCAUCGAAUCUUUGAACGCAUAUUGCGCCCUUUGGCAUUCCGAAGGGCAUACCUGUUCGAGCGUCAUUAUCACCCCUCGAGCCCUUCCGGCUCGGUGUUGGACGGUUUGGUUUUGGUGACAGAACCCCUCCCAAAGUUAAUGACGGCGGCCUGUGGGACCCCCCGGUACACUGAGCUUCUUCACCGAGCACGUAUCGGUCGUUAAAAGGGUAGACAGGCCCCGGUCUUCUUCCUUACGGGAAAAUACAAUCUCUAGAAGGUUGACCUCGGAUCAGGUAGGGAUACCCGCUGAACUUAAGCAUAUCAAUAAGCGGAGGA
rnacentral:misc_RNA from 1 species